UGCCAGAGCCAUAUCUUCCUGCACUUCACACCUGGUUUCCCACUGAAGUGAAGCAGGGUUGAGCCUAGACAGCACCUGGAUGGGAGACCUCCUGGGGUCCACCAUCUUUCGGAU
rnacentral:rRNA from 1 species